rnacentral:rRNA from 1 species
GGGGAAUAUUGGACAAUGGGCGCAAGCCUGAUCCAGCCAUACCGCGUGGGUGAAGAAGGCCUUCGGGUUGUAAAGCCAUUUUGUUGGGAAAGAAAUCCAGCUGGCUAAUACCCGGUUGGGAUGACGGUACCCAAAGAAUAAGCACCGGCUAACUUCGUGCCAGCAGCCGCGGUAAUACGAAGGGUGCAAGCGUUACUCGGAAUUACUGGGCGUAAAGCGUGCGUAGGUGGUCGUUUAAGUCCGUUGUGAAAGCCCUGGGCUCAACCUGGGAAGUGGCGGUGGAUACGGGACGAAUAGGGUGGGGUAGGGGGUAGCGGAAUUCCGGGUGUAGAGGUGAAAUGCGUAGAGACCAGGGGGAACAGCAAUGGCGAGGGCAGUUACCGGGACAAACACUGACACUGGGGCAGAAAGGCGGGGGGAGCAAACA